CUACGGGGGGCUGCAGUGGGGAAUAUUGGACAAUGGGCGAAAGCCUGAUCCAGCCAUGCCGCGUGUGUGAAGAAGGCCUUCGGGUUGUAAAGCACUUUCAGUGGGGAAGAAAGCCUUGGGGCUAAUACCCUCGAGGAAGGACAUCACCCACAGAAGAAGCACCGGCUAACUCCGUGCCAGCAGCCGCGGUAAUACGGAGGGUGCGAGCGUUAAUCGGAAUUACUGGGCGUAAAGCGCGCGUAGGCGGUCUGAUAAGCCGGUUGUGAAAGCCCCGGGCUCAACCUGGGAACGGCAUCCGGAACUGUCAGGCUAGAGUGCAGGAGAGGAAGGUAGAAUUCCCGGUGUAGCGGUGAAAUGCGUAGAGAGCGGGAGGAAUACCAGUGGCGAAGGCGGCCUUCUGGACUGACACUGACGCUGAGGUGCGAAAGCGUGGGUAGCAAACAGGAUUAGAUACCCGGGUAGUC
rnacentral:rRNA from 1 species